rnacentral:rRNA from 1 species
GAUGAACGCUGGCGGCGUGCCUAACACAUGCAAGUCGAACGAAGCACCUUACCUGAUUCUUCGGAUGAAAGUUUGGUGACUGAGUGGCGGACAGGUGAGUAACGCGUGGGUAACCUGCCCUGUACAGGGGGAUAACAGCUGGAAACGGCUGCUAAUACCGCAUAAGCGCACGAGGAGACAUCUCCUUGUGUGAAAAACUCCGGUGGUACAGGAUGGGCCCGCGUCUGAUUAGCUGGUUGGCAGGGUAACGGCCUACCAAGGCAACGAUCAGUAGCCGGUCUGAGAGGAUGAACGGCCACAUUGGAACUGAGGCACGGUCCAAACUCCUACGGGAGGCAGCAGUGGGGAAUAUUGCACAAUGGGGGAAACCCUGAUGCAGCAACGCCGCGUGAGUGAAGAAGUAUUUCGGUAUGUAAAGCUCUAUCAGCAGGGAAGAUAAUGACGGUACCUGACUAAGAAGCUCCGGCUAAAUACGUG